rnacentral:rRNA from 1 species
AAUGCUCAGUAACACGUGGAUAACCUGCCCUAUCGUCUGGAAUAACCUCGGGAAACUGAGAACAAGGCCGGAUAGUUCACAAUGCCUGGAACGGUUUGUGAAUCAAGGUAGGAUGGGUCUGCGGCGUAUCAGGUUGUAGGGGGUGUAAAGGACCCCCUAGCCUUCGACGCGUACGGGUGUUGGGAGACAUAGCCCGGAGAUGGAUUCUGAGACACGAAUCCAGACCCUACGGGGUGCAGCAGGCGCGAAAACUUCACACUGCAGGAAACUGUGAUGAGGGAACUCCUAGUGCAUGCACUAUGUGUAUGUAGAUCCUACUCUUAACAAGUAGAGGGAAAGGGCUGGGAAAGACCGGUGCCAGCCGCCGCGGUAAUACCGGCAGCUCAAGUGGUCGUCGCUUUUAUUGGGCCUAAAACGUCCGUAGCCUGUUUGGUAAAUCUGUGGGUAAAUCAAUCCGCUCAACGGAUUGAAUUCUGCAGAGACUGCCAGACUAGGGACCGGGAGAGGUGUGGGGUACUCGAGGGGUAGGGGUAAAAUCCUGUCAUCCUUCGAGGACCACCAGUUGCGAAGGCGCCACACUGGAACGGAUCCGACGGUCAGGGACGAAGCCUAGGGGCACGAACCGGAUUAGAUACCCGGGUAGUCCUAGGUGUAAACGCUGUGAACUUGGUGUCGGGGGUCCGCAAGGGGUCCCCGGUGCCGGAGUGAAGAUGUUAAGUUCACUGCCUGGGGAGUACGGUCGCAAGGCUGAAACUUAAAGGAAUUGGCGGGGGAGCAC